GUGGCAGACGGGUGAGUAACACGUGGGAAUCUGCCCUGUAGAGUGGGAUAACUAGUAGAAAUGCUUAGCUAAUACCGCAUAUUGCCGAGAGGUGAAAGAUUUAUUGCUACAGGAUGAGCCCGCGCAAGAUUAGUUAGUUGGUGAGGUAAUGGCUUACCAAGACUGCGAUCUUUAGCUGGUCUGAGAGGAUGAUCAGCCACACUGGAACUGAGACACGGUCCAGACUCCUACGGGGGGCAGCAGUGGGGAAUAUUGGACAAUGGGCGAAAGCCUGAUCCAGCAACGCCGCGUGAGUGAAGAAGGCCUGUGGGUUGUAAAGCUCUUUUAGUGAAGAAGAUAAUGACGGUAUUCACAGAAAAAGUCCCGGCUAACUUCGUGCCAGCAGCCGCGGUAAUACGAAGGGGGCUAACGUUACUCGGAAUUACUGGGCGUAAAGCGUGCGUAGGCGGUCCUGUAAGUUGGAAGUGAAAUCCUUGGGCUCAACCCAAGAACUGCU
rnacentral:rRNA from 1 species